rnacentral:rRNA from 1 species
UCCGAGUGGUGCAAACGUUAUUCGGAAUCACUGGGCUUAAAGGGUGCGUAGGCGGCUGCACAAGUCAGGUGUGAAAUCCCUCGGCUCAACCGAGGAACUGCGCUUGAAACUGUGUGGCUUGAGGGAGACAGAGGUGAGCGGAACUGAUGGUGGAGCGGUGAAAUGCGUUGAUAUCAUCAGGAACACCGGUGGCGAAAGCGGCCCACUGGGUCUUUUCUGACGCUGAGGCACGAAAGCUAGGGGAGCAAACGGG